ACCCAGCUGACCAGUCCUAAAUAGGACGAAACGCGCGUUCUGGAU
rnacentral:hammerhead_ribozyme from 1 species